AGCGAACGCUGGCGGCAGGCUUAACACAUGCAAGUCGAGCGGGCAUCCUUGUGGUGUCCGCGGCAGACGGGUGAGUAACGCGUGGGAACGUGCCCUUCGGUUCGGAAUAACUCAGUGAAACUUGAGCUAAUACCGGAUACGCCCUUUUGGGGAAAGGUUUACUGCCGAAGGAUCGGCCCGCGUCUGAUUAGCUAGUUGGUGAGGUUACGGCUCACCAAGGCGACGAUCAGUAGCUGGUCUGAGAGGCUGAUCAGCCACACUGGGACUGAGACACGGCCCAGACUCCUACGGGAGGCAGCAGUGGGGAAUAUUGGACAAUGGGGGCAACCCUGAUCCAGCCAUGCCGCGUGAGUGAUAACAGCCUUAGGGUUGUAAAGCUCUUUUCUCCGGGACGAUAAUGACGGUACCGGAGGAAUAAGCCCCGGCUAACUUCGUG
rnacentral:rRNA from 1 species